rnacentral:lncRNA from 1 species
AUACCUUUUCGGCGGUUCCUACUUCGGAUCCUUUACCAAUGCUAUGGGCGAGGCGUCUUGUUGGGUAACUCUCAAGUUAUCUUUCGUCAUAUCAAUAAUGCUGCUGAUUUCGUGGCGAUCCUUUUUCGUUGAUACGACGAUGUUGAACCUCGUUGGUCACAAGCCAAAACUUUGCGCCAUUCGGGCGCACAGUCAACGUAGUCACCUACUUCCCUCUAUAUCACACCACCUCGCAACUGGAAAAAUCAUUCCUGCACGAACUCGACAAAACUUUUGCAGAUUUUCUCCUGCUAGUGGCCAACGUCCCACACAACGCUCACACGGACUUUCUGUAUGCUUAUUGUCGGGCCGCUGGUCUUGGAGCCUCCCGUCUCACGGAAGACGCGGACGUGAGCUGGAUAAAAAAUAUCUCUUCCUCCGUGGUUCCUACGUUUGAAAAGGGGGAGGGGGGGAGAGAUGGUAGUCAUUUUAUUAACAGGACGUCACGUUGAUGAGAUGUCUCUCCGUCAUUUCUUCCUCCGUGUUUUCUAGUAUCGAACAAAUUAAAUAUGAAUUCCUUCCACUAACCUAAACGGCACCGUAAAUUGCCUUUGCACAUUUAUAAAAAUUGCCACGGACAAAUGGAACAGCUGAUGUUCUUGCUAUGCCUUGCAAUAUCAUCAGCUCAAUAACGAUAAACUUACUUCAUUAUAUGACUUGGUGAUGGGGUUGAAACAUAAAUUGUGAUGGGCACUUCGUGCUCAAGUCUAGGAAGUAGGAUGGGAAAUUUAAAAAAAUAAGAGAUUUCUUCUGAAUUAAGGAUUUUUGAUUCAAGAAACGUAAAUGGAAAAAUGAAAAAAACGAAAAACAACUUCAUUAUUCAUCUCCAAGUGUAAUGCUGCUACACUUGGAGAUAUGAUGGGGUUCCUCGGAAUCGUUUUUUUAAUGACCGCCUUCCAUGUAGUACGAAAAGUGUUGUACCAUUCCUCUUCGGAAAAGAGCUUGUGCCAAUUUCAAAAAGGCCAUCAGGUUGGCAUCCUUUUUUUAUGUCGCGCUGGUUGAUUCUACAGAACAAACUGAAAUAAAAAAAAAUUUUAAUUUUUGCAUUCAAACACAAUAUUUAUAAAUAACAUACCAUCAGUAAUGGAAAAUCGUCGAACUUUAUUCGCAUGGCAGAAACGCACACAAAAAGGGCCCCUUCUAUCCAUCUUGAGCUACUGCAACACUGGCGAAAAAGACAACAAAAUGGAAACAACAAGAUGGAAAAGGGCCGCCCAGGCAGCAGCAGACAACAGACAGUAAAAAAAGAGACGACGACCUCGAUCCACCCAUCCAUUUAUCUGACAAGUGCUGCGUCUUCCGCGAUUUCUUCUGUUCCACAACUUUCCAGCUAUAUUUUUCUUGUUUCCCGUGGGUAGCCAACGACAAAUGUUGGAAACUUUGUUGGAAUCGCAGACAAUUUCAUUUUCUUUUUAUUACCUUCGUAACAUGUUUCCUCAAAGUGAGCCUGACAAACAAAGGUGUUUGUGUAAGUUCUUCCAGCAGUGUUUCUAAAUGUCCUUUCUUUAAAACCACAAUUGGCAUCAAUUGCAUUUAACCAAUUUGUUCUCCGUUCCACGUUGGAAUGUAAUUCAUGAUAACGAAUUUCUUUUUUUU